rnacentral:SRP_RNA from 1 species
GCCAGGCACGGUGGCGCGUGCCUGUAGUCCCAGCUACUCGGGAGGCUGAGGUGGGAGGAUCGCUUGAGCCCAGGAGUUCUGGGCUGUAGUGCGCUAUGCCCAUCGGGUAUCCGCACUAAGUUGAGCAACAAUAUGGUGACCUCCCGGGAGUAGGGGACCACCGGGUUGCCUAAGGAGGGGUGAACCAGCCCAGGUCGGAAACGGAGCAGGUCAAAACUCCCAUGCUGAUCAGUAGUGGGAUUGUGCCUGUGAACAGCCACUGCACUCUAGUCUGGGCAACAUAGCGAGACCCUGUCUCU